AUUGAACGCUGGCGGCAGGCUUAACACAUGCAAGUCGAGCGGUAGCACAGGGGAGCUUGCUCCCUGGGUGACGAGCGGCGGACGGGUGAGUAAUGUCUGGGAAACUGCCUGAUGGAGGGGGAUAACUACUGGAAACGGUAGCUAAUACCGCAUAACGUCGCAAGACCAAAGAGGGGGACCUUCGGGCCUCUUGCCAUCAGAUGUGCCCAGAUGGGAUUAGCUAGUAGGUGGGGUAAUGGCUCACCUAGGCGACGAUCCCUAGCUGGUCUGAGAGGAUGACCAGCCACGCUGGAACUGAGACGCGGUCCAGACUCCUACGGGAGGCAGCAGUGGGGAAUAUUGCACAAUGGGCGCAAGCCUGAUGCAGCCAUGCCGCGUGUGUGAAGAAGGCCUUCGGGUUGUAAAGCACUUUCAGCGAGGAGGAAGGUGGUGAGCUUAAUACGUUCAUCAAUUGACGUUACUCGCAGAAGAAGCACCGGCUAACUCCGUG
rnacentral:rRNA from 1 species